rnacentral:misc_RNA from 1 species
GAUGAAGAACGUAGCGAACUGCGAUAAGUAAUGUGAAUUGCAGAAUUCAGUGAAUCAUCGAGUCUUUGAACGCACAUUGCGCCCCCUGGUAUUCCGGGGGGCAUGCCUGUCCGAGCGUCAUUGCUGCCCUCAAGCACGGCUUGUGUGUUGGGCCGUCGUCCCCCUCCUAGGGGACGGGCCCGAAAGGCAGCGGCGGCACCGCGUCCGGUCCUCGAGCGUAUGGGGCUUCGUCACCCGCUCCGUAGGCCCGGCCGGCGCUUGCCGACGACCAUCAAUCUCUUUCUCCAGGUUGACCUCGGAUCAGGUAGGGAUACCCGCUGAACUUAAGCAUAUCAAUAAGCGGAGGA